CACGUAUGCGACCUACCCUUUACAGGCGGAUAGCUCGGGGAAACUCGAAUUAACCCGCCGUAAUAUAAUUGGAUGGCAUCAUCUGGUUAUUAAAUCUACGGAGGUAAAGGAUGGGCAUGCGUCUGAUUAGUUAGUUGGCGGGGUAACGGCCCACCAAGACGAUGAUCAGUAGGGGAACUGAGAGGUUGAUCCCCCACACUGGCACUGAGAUACGGGCCAGACUCCUACGGGAGGCAGCAGUGGGGAAUCUUGCACAAUGGGGGAAACCCCGAUCCAGCGACGCCGCGUGAGCGAUGAAGCCCUUCGGGGUGUAAAGCUCUUUCGGCAGGAACGAUAAUGACGGUACCUGCAGAAGAAGCUGCGGCUAACUACGUGCCAGCAGCCGCGGUAAUACGUAGGCAGCGAGCGUUGUUCGGAAUUACUGGGCGUAAAGAGUGUGUAGGUGGUGUCGUAAGUUUGGUGUGAAAUUUCCCGGCUCAACUGGGAGGGUGCGCCGAAGACUGCGAUGCUGGAGUAUGGGAGAGGAAAGCGGAAUUCCUGGUGUAGCGGUGAAAUGCGUAGAUAUCAGGAGGAACACCUGCGGUGUAGACGGCUUUCUGGACCAUUACUGACACUGAGACACGAAAGCGUGGGUAGCAAACAGGAUUAGAUACCCUGGUAGUCCACGCCCUAAACGAUGCAUACUUGGUGUGAGCCAUUCAGUUGGUUCGUGCCGGAGCUAACGCGUUAAGUAUGCCGCCUGGGGAGCACGGUCGCAAGGCUGAAACUCAAAGGAAUUGACGGGGGCCCGCACAAGCGGUGGAGCAUGUGGUUCAAUUCGACGCAACGCGAAGAACCUUACCUGGGCUCGAACGGCUUUUCAACGUUCAUAGAAAUAUGGAUAUCCCGCAAGGGAGUAGAGUCGAGGUGCUGCAUGGCUGUCGUCAGCUCGUGUCGUGAGAUGUUGGGUUAAGUCCCGCAACGAGCGCAACCCUUGCCAUUAGUUGCUACAUUCAGUUGGGCACUCUAAUGGGACCGCCGGUGACAAACCGGAGGAAGGUGGGGAUGACGUCAAGUCCUCAUGGCCCUUAUGGGUAGGGCUUCACACGUAAUACAAUGGUCGGUACAGAGGGCUGCCAACCCGCAAGGGGGAGCUAAUCCCAGAAAGCCGAUCGUAGUCCGGAUUGUAGUCUGCAACUCGACUGCAUGAAGCCGGAAUCGCUAGUAAUCGCGGAUCAGCAUGUCGCGGUGAAUACGUUCCCGGGUCUUGUACACACCGCCCGUCACACCAUGGGAGUGGGUUCCACCAGAAGUAGUUAGCCUAACCGCAAGGAGGGCGAUUACCACGGUGAGAUUCAUGACUGGGGUGAAGUCGGAACAAGGUA
rnacentral:rRNA from 1 species